UGGGGAAUAUUGCACAAUGGGGGAAACCCUGAUGCAGCGACGCCGCGUGAACGAAGAAGGUAUUCGUAUCGUAAAGUUCUGUCCUAUGGGAAGAUAAUGACAGUACCAUAGAAGAAAGCUCCGGCUAAAUACGUGCCAGCAGCCGCGGUAAUACGUAUGGAGCAAGCGUUGUCCGGAAUUAUUGGGCGUAAAGGGUACGCAGGCGGUUUAAUAAGUCGAAUGUUAAAGAUCGGGGCUCAACCCCGUAAAGCAUUGGAAACUGAUAAACUUGAGUAGUGGAGAGGAAAGUGGAAUUCCUAGUGUAGUGGUGAAAUACGUAGAUAUUAGGAGGAAUACCAGUAGCGAAGGCGACUUUCUGGACACAAACUGACGCUGAGGUACGAAAGCGUGGGGAGCAAACAGG
rnacentral:rRNA from 1 species